AACGGUAAGAAGGUUCGCCGGGGAUAACAGGUUAUAGAAUUCCUGGAGCUCGAAUCCUUGGAUUCUAUUGGCACCUCCAUGUCGACUCAUCGCAGCCUUGCA
rnacentral:rRNA from 3 species